rnacentral:rRNA from 1 species
CUACGGGAUGCUGCAGUGGGGAAUAUUGCGCAAUGGGCGAAAGCCUGACGCAGCAACGCCGUGUGAGGGAUGAAGGCUUUCGGGUCGUAAACCUCUGUCGGAAGGGAAGAACGGGCAUUGGUCUAAUAGGCCUUUGUUUUGACGGUACCUUUAGAGGAAGCACCGGCUAACUCCGUGCCAGCAGCCGCGGUAAUACGGAGGGUGCAAGCGUUAUUCGGAAUUACUGGGCGUAAAGCGCACGUAGGCCGUUUUGUAAGUCAGGUGUGAAAUCCCACGGCUCAACCGUGGAACUGCCUUUGAAACUGCCGAACUUGAAUGCUGGAGAGGGUGGCGGAAUUCCUGGUGUAGGAGUGAAAUCCGUAGAUAUCAGGGGGAACACCGGUGGCGAAGGCGGCCACCUGGACAGGUAUUGACGCUGAGGUGCGAAAGUGUGGGGAGCAAACAGGAUUAGAUACCCUUGUAGUC